rnacentral:tRNA from 1 species
AGAUGACAAGCAGCCACGAAAGUACGCCUCUUUUGGCAUCGACAAGGCUCUCAGAUGGAUCAUUUCGAUGUCAUGAUCAUAGAAACGGAGGAAGCCAAUCUGAAGAUGAGAAUGUUGUGAUGUGCCAGAUACCGCAGAAAAAAGCGAAAUACUUAACGUAAGAGAUUUCAGAUUUAUUUUUUAAACACAAACGUGCAGUUCCUAUUGAACAUCCUGAUCUCUGUCCUAUGCUGCAGCGAUUGAUUAUUCCUUUGCUUUAAGUUUCACGGAUUGACGCCGUUUUGUACUUAGGAAAGUUAGGAGCAUGAUUUGUAUUUUAGGAUAAAUAACAACACUGACAUAUUUUCAAUAAAUUUUAUGCUAAUGUCAAAGAUUAUGACGAUUUUUUCUCUAGAGACGUACAGGCAUUAAUGCAUCUUCUGAAAGCCAGUAUUGGAAUUGGCAUUCUGGGACUGCCAAAAGCCCUAAUGAAUGCAGGCAUUGUGGUAUGAGCCAAUUCUCUAAUAUAUCUUAAAAUAUCAUUAUAAGAAUUGAUGACGAAAUUUCGUGACGGUUCUGUCAGUAUCAGUAAAGUCGCAUAUAGAGAUAUCGUCCUGAGGCCGGUUGUAUAACUAUCAAAACCGCAUAUUUUAGAGUUAACUACUAUUUACUAACUACAAAAUAGUAUAAAUUUUUAGAUGUAUAAUUUGUAUUCCCAAUAAUAUAAAGCAUCUACUAAAUAAUUUUAUAAAUCGUUUGCUUCCGAUCUAUCUGAUUUACUAUAGCGAACUAUAGUACUUGCGUCAUAAUAUAGAUAUAUAGAUAAUGCAGCCUUAUGAAUUAUUGACCUUCUGCUUUGUUUUAAUUUUGCUGGCGGGCACAUUCCGAUUGUUCAAUGGAUGAGGCGGAAUUUUGGAGACACAUUCCCAAGACUAACGCUGAAAAAAUAUUUCAAUUUCUGUUUUUUUGUGUUGGUGUUGUGUACUCAGGUGAAUACGAUGUUUGUGAUGUUACUCUGAGUGUGUAUCCACACCGGGCAAGCUUGAAAAACAUGCCUGGCCACGGUGGGAAUCGAACCUACGACCUUUGGAAUACUAGCCCAAUGCUCAGCCAACUGAGCUACGCGGUCAGGUCGGUUCGAGUAUGCGAUAUUUCGGAACUGAGUCUAGUUCCUUCGACAUCAAUGCAAUCUAAUAAUCAUGAUUUUUUGUGCUGGUGUUGUGUACUCAGGUGAAUAUGAUGUUUGUGAUGUUACUCUGAGUGUGUAUCCACACCGAGCAAGCUUGAAAAUAUGCCUGGCCACGGUGGGAAUCGAACCUACGACCUUUGGAAUAAUAGCACAAUGCUCUGCCGCGUAGCUCAGUUGGCAGAGCAUUGGGCUAGUGUCCAAAGGUCGUAGGUUCGAUUCCCACCGUGGCCAGGUAUAUUUUUCAAGCUUGCCGCCCGGUGUGGAUACACACUCCGAUCAGAGUAACAUCACAAACAUCAUAUUCAACACAAAAAAUCAUGAUUAUUAGAUUACAUUGAUGUCGAAGGAACUAGACUUAGUUCCGAAAAUAUCACAUACUCGAACCGACCUGACCGCGUAGCUCAGUUGGCAGAGCAUUGGACUAGUAUUCCAAAGGUUGUAGGUUCGAUUCACACCGUGGCCAGGCAUAUUUUUCAAGCUGGCCCGGUGUGGAUUCACACUCAGAGUAACAUCACAAACAUCAUUUCAAUCGUCUGUUUAGAAUUGAAGUUCCGUAUUCCACAUCACGUUUUUAAAAAUCUUUAAUCCGCUAAGCAGGCAACUAAAAAGUCACAUUCCAUAAAAAAAAUUAAAGAAUUCCCCAUUUCAAAACUCCGCCUCAUCCCCCGCGAUAAUACAAAAGAUCACAUGUUUUCCAAUGUAUACAACAAUAACGACGUUCUCUUAGGAGAUUUCUAGAAACAGUUUCCUGCCAAGCGAGCUGAAACGCACAAAGGCAAGGAGUUGAAUAUGUUAACAAUAUUUUCAAAUUAUUUUUAAGAUUGGACCCUUGCUACUAGCGCUAAUCGCUGUCGUAACUGUUCACUGUGUACAUCUGCUGGUAAGCUGUUCAGAACGCCUUUGCAUCAA